rnacentral:rRNA from 1 species
CGGCAGGCCUAACACAUGCAAGUCGAGCGGUAGCACAGAGAGCUUGCUCUCGGGUGACGAGCGGCGGACGGGUGAGUAAUGUCUGGGAAACUGCCUGAUGGAGGGGGAUAACUACUGGAAACGGUAGCUAAUACCGCAUAAUGUCGCAAGACCAAAGUGGGGGACCUUCGGGCCUCAUGCCAUCAGAUGUGCCCAGAUGGGAUUAGCUAGUAGGUGGGGUAACGGCUCACCUAGGCGACGAUCCCUAGCUGGUCUGAGAGGAUGACCAGCCACACUGGAACUGAGACACGGUCCAGACUCCUACGGGAGGCAGCAGUGGGGAAUAUUGCACAAUGGGCGCAAGCCUGAUGCAGCCAUGCCGCGUGUGUGAAGAAGGCCUUCGGGUUGUAAAGCACUUUCAGCGGGGAGGAAGGCGGUGAGGUUAAUAACCUCACCGAUUGACGUUACCCGCAGAAGAAGCACCGGCUAACCCCGUGCCAGCAGCCGCGGUAAUACGGAGGGUGCAGGCGUUAAUCGGAAUUACUGGGCGUAAAGCGCACGCAGGCGGUCUGUCAAGUCGGAUGUGAAAUCCCCGGGCUCAACCUGGGAACUGCAUUCGAAACUGGCAGGCUAGAGUCUUGUAGAGGGGGGUAGAAUUCCAGGUGUAGCGGUGAAAUGCGUAGAGAUCUGGAGGAAUACCGGUGGCGAAGGCGGCCCCCCUGGACAAAGACUGACGCUCAGGUGCGAAAGCGUGGGGAGCAAACAGGAUUAGAUACCCUGGUAGUCCACGCCGUAAACGAUGUCGAUUUGGAGGUUGUGCCCUUGAGGCGUGGCUUCCGGAGCUAACGCGUUAAAUCGACCGCCUGGGGAGUACGGCCGCAAGGUUAAAACUCAAAUGAAUUGACGGGGGCCCGCACAAGCGGUGGAGCAUGUGGUUUAAUUCGAUGCAACGCGAAGAACCUUACCUGGUCUUGACAUCCACAGAACUUUCCAGAGAUGGAUUGGUGCCUUCGGGAACUGUGAGACAGGUGCUGCAUGGCUGUCGUCAGCUCGUGUUGUGAAAUGUUGGGUUAAGUCCCGCGACGAGCGCAACCCUUAUCCUUUGUUGCCAGCGGUCCGGCCGGGAACUCAAAGGAGACUGCCAGUGAUAAACUGGAGGAAGGUGGGGAUGACGUCAAGUCAUCAUGGCCCUUACGACCAGGGCUACACACGUGCUACAAUGGCAUAUACAAAGAGAAGCGACCUCGCGAGAGCAAGCGGACCUCAUAAAGUAUGUCGUAGUCCGGAUUGGAGUCUGCAACUCGACUCCAUGAAGUCGGAAUCGCUAGUAAUCGUAGAUCAGAAUGCUACGGUGAAUACGUUCCCGGGCCUUGUACACACCGCCCGUCACACCAUGGGAGUGGGUUGCAAAAGAAGUAGGUAGCUUAACCUUCGGGAGGGCGCUUACCACUUUGUGAUUCAUGACU